rnacentral:rRNA from 1 species
ACGUGAGUUACAUGCCCUGCAGAGAGGGAUAGCCCAGGGAAACUUGGAUUAAUACUUCAUGGUCUCGCAAGAGUAAAGGUGGCGAAAGCUGCCGCUGCAGGAUUGGCUCGCGGCCUAUCAGCUAGUUGGUGAGGUAACGGCUCACCAAGGCGACGACGGGUACCUGGUCUGAGAGGACGAUCAGGCACACUGGAACUGAGACACGGUCCAGACACCUACGGGUGGCAGCAGUCGAGAAUCAUUCACAAUGGGGGCAACCCUGAUGGUGCAACGCCGCGUGGAGGAUGAAGGUCUUCGGAUUGUAAACUCCUGUCAUCUAGGAGCAAGGCAUGGUGGUGAAUAGCUAACAUGAUUGAUAGUACUAGAAGAGGAAGGGACGGCUAACUUCGUGCCAGCAGCCGCGGUAAUACGAAGGUCCCGAGCGUUAUUCGGAAUCACUGGGCGUAAAGGGAGCGUAGGCGGCGUGGAAAGUCAGAUGUGAAAUCCCGGGGCUCAACCCCGGAACUGCAUCCGAUACUACCAUGCUAGAGUAUUGGAGGG